rnacentral:misc_RNA from 1 species
CAAAGUGUGGAUGGACAUAUUUUCCAACCAUUGUUUUAAACAAAUGAUGUAUUGUGUUUGAAUGAGCAGAAUCGUUCGUUACAAGCUUUACAGUACUUUGUGUGAAGACAGAAGUCAGAGGUACGCUUGCUGCUUAGGCAUUUGUACCGUACGAAAGGUGGGUGUUAAUCCUUGUCCAGCGUGAUUUACACGGAUAAACACCUGGGCCAAAGAAAAAGUAAAUACCGGUUGUAACUAUGGACACGUUGUACCACCACGUGUGCUUGUUCAUGUGUGUUGUAAUUGGACUGUUUGGAUGGGUGUCAUCGCAGACAUCGAAGGAGAUAAGAGAGAGUUAUUCCCUGCAACACGCUCUCGAUGUUCGGUUCGCAGAUGUGGACAAGAACGGCGGGAGAUCAGCUAGAGCCAUGCACACGGCGUUUGUGGGCAGCAGCCCAAGGGCUCGAGCACUGGGCUACAACUACCAGGAGCGCAUGUCCAACACAUUAAGGAGUAUCAAAAGGUUCCGUGGUUACUCUGGAGCCAUGGACCCUGCCAUCAUGAUGAAUACCCUGAUGCUUGGAGCCAAUGGGAUGUGUGCAAACAGAAGCUUUAUCUGUGACGAACGACACAAAUUUCGCACUUCUGACGGCAGCUGUAACAACAUCCACAACCCCACUUGGGGGAAGUCGUUCAUCCCCUUCAGAAGGUUCCUUGGACCCCAAUAUGAUGACGGAAUGCGCAUUCCACGUUUACGAGGUAUGGGCGGAAUUCCUCUUCCUAGCGCUCGCCUGGUCAGCACGACAGUCCACACGCCUGACGACAGUUAUCCUGUAAGCCGCAGCAUCACCAGCAUGGUGAUGCAAUGGGGACAGUUCCUGGAUCAUGACAUUACACUGUCGCCCAUCAGAACAGGGAUGAAUGGAAUGCCUCUGACGUGCUGCCCCGACGAUGUGCCACCAUUCAUGAGAACCACACUCGACGUCAGCUUACGAGACGGGUGUUUUCCAAUCCCGAUUCCACUCGGUGACCGCCACUUCCGGAGUAGGUGUAUGCACUUCGCCAGAUCUAUCCAGGCGGAUAACUCCAGAUGUUCUGGAAUACCAGCAGAACAGAUGAACCAACUGACGGCGUAUAUAGACGCCUCCCAGGUGUACGGGUCUACGCCGGAAGAGGUGGCAUCUCUUAGGAUGAUGGUCGGCGGUCUGCUGAAGAUGUCACGGUUUACACUUCUUCCACGAGACAGAUCCACCUUGGAGGUUUGUACGGACCAGUGCUUCAAAGCAGGUGAUGAGCGCGUUAACGAGCAGAUGGGGUUAACAAGCAUACAAACCAUCUUCAUGAGAGAGCAUAACAGAAUAGCCCUGACUCUCAAGAAGAUCAAUCCACAUUGGAAUGACGAACGACUCUUUCAAGAAAGCAGGAGAAUCAUCGGUGCCAUCUGCCAGAAGAUUACUUACAACGACUUCCUUCCUCGGGUGUUGAACAGGGCAACCCUGACACAAUACCGACUGAAUUCCCCAUCUAAGGGGUAUUAUAAUGUAUAUGACAAACUCAUUGACCCAAGCAUAAGGAACGCUUUCGCAGCAGCAGCCUUUCGUUUCGGACACUCCUUGAUAAGAUCGACUGUUAGUAGGAGGCGACAGGACUUCUCUGUGAAUCGUGUCGUUCGUACGCGAGACAUGUUCGGUAACACUGCCAUGGUAACCGCGAGCAAUGGGGAGGCAGUUCAUGAACUUUUAAGAGGGAAGCUGAUUGACAGGCCAUGCAGAGUGGACCGAUUCAUGUCACGGGAGGUGACAGAUUUCCUGUUCAUUCAAGCGAACUCCAGCCUCGAUCUUGCAGCUCUGAAUAUCCAAAGAGGACGUGAUCAUGGUCUGCCCGGGUACAUUUCCUUCAGGAGAUGGUGUGGAUUGUCAAGUGUGGUUAACUUCUUGUCGGCCCCGGGAGGACUUGUUGACCAUGAUGUAGAAACAACAAGACGACUUGCCGCAGUUUACAGCCCAACUCCAAGAGAUCCGUAGAAGCAGCCUGUCUCGCCUCCUCUGUGACAACACCAACACCUUCCACGUGCAGAUAGACGCCUUCAAAACCAUAUCUGGAAGAAAUCCCCGUGUGUCCUGCUUCAGCCUCCCCAGGCUUGACCUCACAAAGUGGCAGGAACUCCACGGCGGCUUGCCAGGACAUGGUGUGUGGCCAAGAUGCUUUGUGGGGCACCAUCUCUUCCCAAUAGUGAAGG